rnacentral:sRNA from 1 species
UCCAAGUCAGCACAGCCUUAGUUCACAC